AUUUGUAGAGGCAGCAUUGGGUUACAGCCAGGUCUAUGUUCCUUGGAACAGGACGUCAUGGAGGGUGAGAAUCCCGUAAGUGGCUUGGUGAGUGCCUAUGUAAUGCGCCUUCAACGAGUCGAGUUGUUUGGGAAUGCAGCUCUAAGCGGGUGGUAAAUUCCAUCUAAAGCUAAAUAUUGGCGAGAGACCGAUAGCGCACAAGUAGAGUGAUCGAAAGGUGAAAAGCACUCCGGAAGGAGAGUUAAACAGCACGUGAAAUUGUUGAAAGGGAAGCGCUUGAGACCAGACUCGGGCAGGGUUGAUCAGCCUCCAUUCUUGGUGGUGCACUCUUCUCUGUCUGGGCCAGCAACAGUUUUAGCGGUGGUAUAAAAGUCUAGGGAAUGUGGCUCUCUUCGGGGAGUGUUAUAGCCCUGGGCACAAUGCUGCCAGCUGAGACUGAGGACUGCGCUUCGGCACGGUUGUUGGCAUAAUGGUCUUAAGCGACCCGUCUUGAAACACGGACCAAGGAGUCUAACAUCUAUGCGAGUGUUUGGGUGUAAAACCCUUACGCGAAAUGAAAGUGAACGUAGGUGAGAACCCGCAAGGGUGCAUCAUCGACCGAUCUUGAUGUCUUCGGAUGGAUUUGAGUAAGAGCAUAGCUGUUGGGACCCGAAAGAUGGUGAACUAUGCCUGUGUAGGGUGAAGCCAGAGGAAACUACUGGUGGAGGCUCGCAGCUGUUCUGACGUG
rnacentral:rRNA from 1 species